UAGUAUAAUAGCCUUUGCAGAUGAUCAGACACAAGGCGAUAAACAACUAAAUUCAACUUUUAUGCCAGAAAGACAGAGACAGAGAAAGAAAGAAAGAAAGAAAGAAAGAAAGAAAGAAAGAAAGAAAGAAAGAGAGAGAAAGAGAGAAAAAAGAAAGAAAGAAAGAAAGAAAGAGAAAGAGAAAAAAGAAAGAAAGAAAGAAAGAGAGAGAAAGAGAAAAAAGAAAGAAAGAAAGAAAGAAAGAGAAAGGAAGGAAGAAAGAAAGAAAGAAAGAAAGAAGAAAGGAAGAGAAGGAAGGAAGGAAGGAAGGAAGGGAAGGAAAGAAAGAAAGAAAGAAAGAAAGAAAGAAAGAAAGAAAGAAAGAGAAAGAGAGAGAGAGAGAGAGAGAGAGAGAGAGAGAGAGAGAGAGAGAGAGAGAGAGAGAGAGAGAGAGAGAGAGAGAGAGAGAGAGAGAGAGAGAGAGAGAGAGAGACAGAGAGAGAGACAGAGAGAGAGACAGAGAGAGAGAGAGAGAGAGAGAGAGAGUCAGGACCUGACUGGCCUGGACUGAUUGGUCCAUUUAAAGUAUAUGGAUAUAUUUCUAUUUAUCCACAAUUAAUUACAGUUAUCUUCUCAUGCAGGCCAUUUACAAGAGGGAACUGGGAUGGAGAGAUCGGUUUAUAUUUUCCCCUCGGGAAUGGGGGGUCAGAAUUGCCAGGGAGGCAUCGCUGAGUUGGAUGGAGGAGAAGAAGGAGAGGCAGAGACAGACCAGAGAGCCCUUUCCCUCAAGACCUAUGGCUCUCCUCUCAAGAGAUAUUCAUUCCCUGCAGCAGGUCCUUUGGUUCAUUUGGGGGCCCCCCUUUUCUUCCCUGCCGCCUUCUCCUCAUCCCACAGCCCUUGCCCAAGGAACACAUUUGCUAGUGUCAUUAUUUCCUUUUGUGGGAUUUAGGGAAGUCCAAACCCUAGAGCGAGCUUCUCGCACCUCUUUGCCGAAAGCUCAGCAAGCACCAGUGUCCAGAGGCCAGCCAGCAGGAAAUCCUGAGCGGGCCCCCAAGUCUGGGAACCUCGAGAACUGAACUCCACACCUCCCCCAGACAGCUGUCCCUGCCCUGAUCUGCUCUUGACAGAUGCUCCCUUUCGGAAACGCCCGCAGAGUCCAAACCAGGAAGAAAAUAUUCCAAAUGAGGGAAAUUCAGGGUUCAAGUCGCUAAGUGCUUUGCCAUUAGAUUUUGUAGCUUAAAUCGCCUGGAGAGAAAGCGGGUUGGAAAGUGAUGAGGAAAAGAGAAUGGUGAGUUUUUCCUUGAAUUUCCAAGAGAUUUGGCACCCCAAUGCAGCUCUCUGCCUCAAGGAAGCCCCCAGCUGGCCCCCCAUCCUGUUAUCACAAGUGCACCAGCAGAGACAAUAUGGAAAAGCUACAAACAUUCCCCGAUGGGGUCAAGGAGGUGAAAUCCCAUCCCGUGCAGGCCAGCAGUGGGUGGGGGAGUCAGAGGGGACGGAGAAGGCCAGGUUGGUGAAUGCCAUGUUACAGGCGGAAUUUCCACUCCGAGUGCAUGCUGCAGACAUUCUAGAACAUCACGUCUCACUCAAUAAAAGUACAUGCCAG
ensembl:lncRNA